CCUACGGGAGGCAGCAGUGAGGAAUAUUGGUCAAUGGACGCAAGUCUGAACCAGCCAUGCCGCGUGCAGGAAGACGGCUCCAUGAGUUGUAAACUGCUUUUGUACGAGGGUAAACGCAGAUACGCGUAUCUGUCUGAAAGUAUUGUACGAAUAAGGAUCGGCUAACUCCGUGCCAGCAGCCGCGGUAAUACGGAGGAUUCGAGCGUUAUCCGGAUUUAUUGGGUUUAAAGGGUGCGUAGGCGGUCGGAUAAGUUAGAGGUUAAAUCCCGGGGCUCAACUUCGGAAGAGCCUCUGAUACUGUCUGUCUUGAGAGGAGGUGCGGUAGGCGGAAUGUAUGGUGUAGCGGUGAAAUGCUUAGAGAU
rnacentral:rRNA from 1 species